rnacentral:lncRNA from 1 species
GUAGGUGAAACCCACCCUCCAGCUCUGGCCAGCACUGAGCAGGGGUGACAGCUGCCAGGCAGCGACUGUCAUUUUGGGUUGAAAGGCUGCCUUGGCAGAGCUCAGAUCAGAUCCUUCAGAACAAGGUCCCCUGUGUCCCCCGGAGUGACAUGGAAAGCUAUGGCCCACCAUCCUCCGGAGUUGAUUCUGCAGCCCAGCAUCCUGAGCAAACGUGCUCACUCAUUCUUUAAAGAUGUCCAAAGAGUUCUUUCUCCACUGUACCCUAACUCCCUCCUUCUAUACCUAAUUUUUUUUUUAAAAAAUUGGGGAUUGAAUUCAGGGACCUCAUACUGAAUUACACCCCUAGACUUUCUAUAUUUUUUAUUUUGAGAUAGGGUCUCUAUCAUUGAGUGGCCCAGUCUGGGCUCAAACUUUAAAUCUUCCUGCCUCAGCCUCUCAGAGUGCUGGGAUGACUGUCAUGCACCUCCACAACCCACUCUAAACCCCAUUUCUUCUGGUUCUGCCCUCACAUGACUCAGAGGGACUGGAGGCCCGCAUCUCCACAGUGACAUUUUCACCAGUCCACAGCACAAUAAAAAAUUAAAGACAGAGGAAUGCCUAUUUCUCAGUGUAAAGUCAAUAAUGGCUCCUUUCUUAGAAAUGACUGGCAGUAGCUUUUAUUUUUAGAGACAGGGUCUUGCUAUUUUUCCCAGGUUGGUCUCAAUAGAUUCUCCUGCCUCAGCCUCCCAGCAGUUGAGACUACAGGUGCAUGCCUUCAUACCCAGCAAGAAUGACUGUUUUCCACUCAGAUGAUGUUGUUUUUAUUUUGAAGGGGUUAAAAUUUAUUUUACAGAAGGGUGAUAAUAGACGGUAGGUGUGUCUUGAAUGUUCUUGGGAAACAUUAAAAGCAGCAACUCUUUCUGGGAACUUGGCUUUUAUUUUGUUUUGUUUUUCUGUCCAAUCUAGAAAUCCGGCACAGCUGUCCAGAGGGAAGUUGAGAGCCAACAUACACAGAGGUGGCCUGAGGUCCUCACCUGGCCUCAGCAAGGUCUCGGGCUGCCCUGGCACCCACCUCUGUGCCAUCUGUGCCAGAAUUUUACCUCCAGGGCCCGAUCCCCCAAGCUCAGUGCAGAAUAUCAGGGUGGGUGACAGGCCGGGCCCUGACCAGACAGCCGUGUUCGAAACCACUUCAGCCACUGACUUAGCAAUCCUUACACCUCAUUUUCCCCACCUGUAAAAUGGGACUAGUAAGACCCACUUUCUGUGAAGGAUUUAGCGGAGCUCUUGGAACUGUGCCCAGCACACAGACUUCAAUAAACGUCGGUUUUAUGACAAUCCGGAAGUUUCACCUGGGCAAAAUGCUGGGGAACUCAGGCUGUGGGACCGGUGGGAGGGCACCUCGCAGUGUCAGGUCUGAGAAGCAAACCCUUCAGCCCUCGCAUCACCACUGCCCCUUCCAGGCUACUGAAUCCCAACUCCUGGAACCCAUCUCACCACCUUCAGGGACUCCAGAGCCCUCUCUGAAGCCCCCACAAAUUCCUAAACCAGGCACACAGCCCAUUCCCCUGAGAUGCUUUGCUCCUAAAACCACCUAACCACCUGUGAAACCCUGAGGCUACUUCCUCGUUCCUUACACCCUGACCCUGGCAGGUGCUUCAGCCUGGUUCACUGCAGAGCUCCAGAUGCUGGGGGUGGGGGCGGGGAUGGGAAACAUCCAGCUAGGCCAUUACUGAGGACGGCCCUGUAUGCGCCAAAGCUAAGGAAACACUGGACUCCGCUGAAGGCUUGGGUUCAAAUCACGGCUGUGUGGGCUUUGGACAAAUUCCGUCAUCGCAGUCCGUUUCCUUCUCCCGCGCACGAACCUGGAAAGCGCAGCCGUCGGGGCUGACCGAGGGAACGUGCUGUUCCCGCGGGGCGCUGGGGACACUUGACGCGGCAGAAGGCCCAGCGAGGGGCGCCCGUGCCCUGCGGCGCAUCCCACCCUCUCCGACACCAUCCCCUCCCGGACCCGCUUACCCCGGCCCGGGAACCAGAGUCGGAGGCCUCCGGGUGGCUCUCACUCCGGCUAAGGCACUGAGACUGACGAGGUUAGUGCGCUAGGUGGGCGGCCCGCGCCCCCAGCCGAGGCGGGCGUGGGGCGGAGCCUCCCGCGGCGGGCACAGGACGUUCCCGCUCCGUCCUCCCCGCCCCCGCUCACUUUCUGCGCUCCCUUCCUCCACGCUCGCCGCCCGUACCUUACUUAACUCCUGGCUUACAGCUCUCCGCGGGCACUGUGCGCCUCCGAGAACCCCACGAUCCCGCGCGUCCCCGGCGCGGAGCGGGGCUGCCCGGGGCGCGGGGGGCCAGAGCACACGCCUCGGGGCCGGAGGAUGGCGAGGGCUCACCGAGACCGACGCCCGCACUCCCCCGCCCCCCCCACGCUGGAGCGCCAGGGCAAGGCUCGGCGGAGGAGCGGCCGGGGCGGCGGGAAGGAUGGAGGGGCCACGCCCCUCGCGCACGUCACUGUUUCCAAGGACACGGGGGAGGGGCGCCCGUGGCUCUCGCACCACGUGGGGUUGGGUGCGGCGGCGGCGGCGGCGGCGGCGGCGGCGGCGGCGGCGGCGGCGGCGGCGGCGGGGGGGGGGGAGGGCUUUUCAAUCCGCUUCUUCGCGCUUUGAUAUCCGAGAAACGCAACGAGGGACAGCGUCUUUCGCCCUUUCAUUCGGCGUUUAAGCUGGGCACCACGCUCAGGCACCAGGAUACCGCGCGCCCUCGCGGGUUUUCGUGACCCGGGGAGUCUGCAGCCUGGGACUGAAGUUUCUCUGGACCUAGGAGGUUGGUCCUUGUCUCCUUGCUACCUUGUUUGCCCAGCACUUGAGCAAUACUCCUGAGCCCAGCGAGACCAGCGAAGGCUCCUCCUUGGAAGCCACCUCCAGGAGCUGGGCAGAGCAGAGGCCAGCUGCAGGAUGUUCCUGCUCCCAAGCUGCCAGGGACCAAGACAAGCAGGGAGAAGAGAACACGCAGGGACUUGGAGGGAAAUUCCUCCGGCCGUUGGGCCACACCCGCCCUAGAGGACCUCCCGAGCUCUUCGGGCAGAGCGGAAGCCAGACCCAGACAGGGACGCUGAAGUGACAAUCCCCAGCCCUGUGUGGGCCAGGAGCCCCUGAGGGGGAGGGGCCACGGUGCUCUCCCCACCCCAGAGCCAGGCGUGGGUUGCAACAGAGGCUUCUCCAGGGAGGCUUGAGAGGAAGUUCAGCCCAAGCGGGAGCCAAGCCUGGGCCCAGCAGGGAGAGCUGCGGUGGGUACAGGACUGAGGAGGACACCACUGUGCGAAGACUGGCCUCCUCUCACCUGCCCCGUCCUGCACCCCCGGCCCGGAACUUUGUGCCUUCGCCCGCUGCACUCCUACCAGCACGGAAUUCCGAGCCACACCGAGCUCCUCUCAGCCGGCCCCACCUGCGAGUCACGUUCCUGCCUCGCCACGCAGUUAUCCCCUGGGCCUUUGUACCUGCUUUCCUGGCGCCGGGAAUGCCCUUCCCCCAUUGACCCAGCAAGGACCUUGUCACUUUCCAGGCCUAAACCUUAAGAAGGUCUGGAAGUUUCCAUAUUUGCCCUUUGGCAGAAGCCAGCCACCACAUCCAGAUGUCCAACUACCUUGAAAUCAUCUGUGAAACUCAGCGUAGCCACAUGGAGAGACCAAGUGGAGAAGAACAGGACAGCAGCCAGCAUCGCGGCUGAGAGCCCAUUUGCCUUCCACAGUUAGGCCAUCUUGGAAUUAAGUCAUUCAGCCCUGGUCAAGCCACCGAACUGAGGAGGCAUAGACUGGAGACCACCUGUCCUUGCUGAAUUCUGUCCAAACUGUAAAAUUAU